AUCUAGACCCACACUACUGUCAGCCAGUGGUGGACGUCACCCAAAGCAACUUCUCUCUGGAGUCUUUUCACUGUAACUCGCCCAGGAAGAUGAACUUUAGUCGUAUGGAUCCCAGCUGCACCAUCGGGUUCUACGCGCAGACUAAGAAAGACUUCGAGUCUUUGUGCUCAGCGGUCAGUGAAGCUUUGUCAUCCUCUAAAGAGAAGUA